CCUGGUGGCGAGUGGCGAACGGGUGAGUAAUAUAUCGGAACGUGCCCAAUCGUGGGGGAUAACGUAGCGAAAGCUACGCUAAUACCGCAUACGAUCUAAGGAUGAAAGCGGGGGAUCGCAAGACCUCGCGCGAUUGGAGCGGCCGAUAUCAGAUUAGGUUGUUGGUGGGGUAAAAGCCCACCAAGCCGACGAUCUGUAGCUGGUCUGAGAGGACGACCAGCCACACUGGGACUGAGACACGGCCCAGACUCCUACGGGAGGCAGCAGUGGGGAAUUUUGGACAAUGGGCGAAAGCCUGAUCCAGCAAUGCCGCGUGCAGGAUGAAGGCCUUCGGGUUGUAAACUGCUUUUGUACGGAACGAAACGGCCUUUUUUAAUACAGGGGGCUAAUGACGGUACCGUAAGAAUAAGCACCGGCUAACUACGUGCCAGCAGCCGCGGUAAUACGUAGGGUGCGAGCGUUAAUCGGAAUUACUGGGCGUAAAGCGUGCGCAGGCGGUUUUGUAAGACAGAUGUGAAAUGCCCGGGCUUAACCUGGGAACUGCAUUUGUGACUGCAUGGCUAGAGUGUGUCAGAGGGGGGUAGAAUUCCACGUGUAGCAGUGAAAUGCGUAGAGAUGUGGAGGAAUACCGAUGGCGAAGGCAGCCCCCUGGGAUA
rnacentral:rRNA from 1 species